rnacentral:rRNA from 1 species
GAUGAACGCUGGCGGCGUGCCUAAUACAUGCAAGUCGAGCGAAUGGAUUAAGAGCUUGCUCUUAUGAAGUUAGCGGCGGACGGGUGAGUAACACGUGGGUAACCUGCCCAUAAGACUGGGAUAACUCCGGGAAACCGGGGCUAAUACCGGAUAACAUUUUGAACCGCAUGGUUCGAAAUUGAAAGGCGGCUUCGGCUGUCACUUAUGGAUGGACCCGCGUCGCAUUAGCUAGUUGGUGAGGUAACGGCUCACCAAGGCAACGAUGCGUAGCCGACCUGAGAGGGUGAUCGGCCACACUGGGACAGAGACACGGCCCAGACUCCUACGGGAGGCAGCAGUAGGGAAUCUUCCGCAAUGGACGAAAGUCUGACGGAGCAACGCCGCGUGAGUGAUGAAGGCUUUCGGGUCGUAAAACUCUGUUGUUAGGGAAGAACAAGUGCUAGUUGAAUAAGCUGGCACCUUGACGGUACCUAACUAGAAAGCCACGGCUAACUACGUGCCAGCCGCCGCCGUAA